rnacentral:tRNA from 1 species
GCAUCAAUGGUCUAGUGGUAGAAUAGUAUCCUGCCAAAUUAUAGAUUUCGGUUCGAUUCCCAAAUGGUGUA